rnacentral:rRNA from 1 species
UACGUAGGGGGCAAGCGUUGUCCGGAUUUAUUGGGCGUAAAGCGUCUGUAGGUGGCUUUUCAAGUCCGCCGUCAAAUCCCAGGGCUCAACCCUGGACAGGCGGUGGAAACUACCAAGCUGGAGUACGGUAGGGGCAGAGGGAAUUGCCGGUGUAGUGGUGAAAUGCGUAGAUAUCGGGAGGAACACCAGAGGCGAAGGCGGCGACCUGGACAGAUACUGACACUGAACUACGAAAGCGUGGGGAGCAAACAGGG